UCGAUGUCGCAUUAAGAGAAACAUCAGCAGGGAAAUUAUGCUAUUCCCAUUUUCUGCUUGGCCAUGGUCAAGAAACAUAAACUACAACACACAAACAGAGAGAGAUAUGUCACAUGUUGCAUUUUUCUUUUCGAUAGUUAGUUUUAUUUUCGAUUAGCUAACAAAUGCUCGGCGCCAGCAGACGAAGAACAACUCAAAGGUAAGAAAGACAAAGACAAAACAAAGUGGGCACCGUCUUCUCAGAAUGCAUAAUCACUGGCCACACCAAAACGAGUGGAAUGCCCGUGAGAUGCGAAACUCCGUUGAUAACGAUCCACCGCGAGUAUGAAGUCAAGGAUGAGUCAGACCUCCGAUGGUCAAAUCUUCAGAGAUGGGACCUACUAACCAUCACCCGCCAGAGAGCGACAUGCUCCAUUUGCAGCUUAGGCACUGGGCAGAAGCUUUUAACCAAAGCAGCUAAUGAAAAGCGUGUUCAAUGCGUUGGGUGAACUGCUACUACAGACGUGUAAAUGAAGCUGCAAUAAGAUUAGCACUGUCACAAGACCUGCAAGAUAAAGGGAGAGGAGGUUUAGUACUUUAAAAAAAUAACAACAUCAAUCGUGGGAUAAUCUGAAAAGGCGUGUUUUCACACACACCUCCUCUUGCAAGAGGACCUGUUACCUUAAUCUUACAGCAAGCAUUGGACCAUUACCUGUACAAACAUUUUCAAGCAAAAAAGUACCACCAAUAACAAGGUCAUAUGCAGAGUUUGAUAAAAUCAAGGCAGUCUGAUGAAAUCAGUUUCAACCUGACGCACUUGCCUGUCAGAGGAAAUAUGAGUCAAGUUCAAUCUGACAGCCUGGCAGUCUGAUAACAACAACAGCAGCAUUGCAUUAGACUGUCAGGCACUGUGUGAUAGGGUCUGUCACUAUCUGAUAGAAUGAAUCACUAUCUGAUAGAGUGGUGCAGUCUGAUAGAAUCAGUCACUAUCUGAUUGUGUGGUGCGGUCUGAUAGCUAGUCAGUAUCUAAUAGCAUGGUGCAGUCUGAAAGUUUGUCACUAUCUGAUUGUGUGGUGCAGUCGGGUUCAGUUUGAGACAGCAGUGCUGGUCUCCAGGGGGUUCUCCUUUUCUCCAGGGCAGAGUGCAGUAGCUCCCAGUUAUGCGCUCCACAGCGGAAGUGUUUUAACGCGCGUAAGUGAGCAGAUGUGUUCUGAUGUACUCUCAGUCUUUCUCUGGAUACAGGGCCAUGAUUUCUACAGCCUGUCCAGACUCUGUCGCUUCAGGCACAUCUGCCAACUGCCCAGCCAGAAAUGUCACGUUUUGCAUCUCACUUUUCUUCAGCUGGACUUGAUUCAGGACUGUGUUUUUCCACCAAGCCCUUUGAGAGGGCCCAUGUCCCUACAGAUUUCAUUAUUUAUAAGGGAACGUCAUGCAUUGGUCCUGACAAAACAAAGGGUCUGUGAACAAUGAGUCUGUACAGUUUUGAUCCCUGCAGAUCCUAAAAGAUGUGAACGAUGCAAGACAUCCCUUAGGAAAUUACAAAGUUUAGGAGACAGAAUGUCAACAAUUGACAUAUAAUACUUUAAUGAAAUGCCAUUUUUAAAAGAAGGAUUUUAAGGUUUUACACUAAAUGGGGGCCAUCAUAAUUUUCAAGCUCAUCAAGCUCAAUACUGUUAUUCCUACUUAGUGUGUCUAGAAUGUAGUUCUCUCUUUCUUACAUGAACACAGUCCAUUAAAUGUCAUAAACAAUUCAUUAUUUUACCCUAUUCUUCUGAAUCCAAAAUUCAAACAAGACUAAACUUUCAAUUUCUCACAGUUAAUUCGGUUUCAAAUUAUAAUGAAACUUUUAAAUCUUAGGCAAGCCCUUGUCACCCUGUCAUCCUGCAUCACGUAAGGCGUGUUGUUAAGACUCACACUGCUCCACCAUGAAAAUCCAAAGGAAACAGUGUCAUAGGGAGGUAUAAAUGGGUGGUGUUUAAAAUUAUGCAUGAACAUGCUCCAAGUACAAGGAGUUUGACUGCUUAAAGGUUUCCUCCCUCAAUAUGGGCCAGAUUCUGUUUCUCUCUCGGCGUUUAGAGGCCUUCAGGACCAUGGACAGCGGCAUCGUCCCCCAACAGGCAUGCACAGCUGUGUCUGACUGAUAAUAAACCCAAGCCUGGCUCAUUG